UACGGAGGAUGCGAGCGUUAUCCGGAUUUAUUGGGUUUAAAGGGUGCGUAGGCGGAGUGUCAAGUCAGCGGUAAAAUUUCGGGGCUCAACCCCGUCGUGCCGUUGAAACUGACACCCUUGAGUGAGUGAGAAGUAAGCGGAAUUCCUGGUGUAGCGGUGAAAUGCGUAGAUAUCAGGAGGAACACCGGCGGCGAAGGCGGCUUACUGGACUGUAACUGACGUUGAGGCUCGAAGGCGUGGGGAGCAAACAGG
rnacentral:rRNA from 1 species